UACAGAGGGUGCAAGCGUUACUCGGAAUUACUGGGCGUAAAGCGUGCGUAGACGGUUAUGUAAGUCGGGUGUGAAAGCCCCGGGCUCAACCUGGGAAUUGCAUUCGAGACUGUGUAGCUAGGGUACGGAAGAGGGAAGCGGAAUUUCCGGUGUAGCGGUGAAAUGCGUAGAUAUCGGAAGGAACAUCAGUGGCGAAAGCGGCUUCCUGGUCCAGCACCGACGUUCAGGCACGAAAGCGUGGGGAGCAAACAGG
rnacentral:rRNA from 1 species